rnacentral:rRNA from 1 species
ACGAACGCUGGCGGCAGGCCUAACACCUGCAAGUCGAGCGAGGACUUCGGUCCUAGCGGCGGACGGGUGAGUAACGCGUGGGAACGUGCCCUUUGCUUCGGAAUAGCCCUGGGAAACUGGGAGUAAUACCGGAUGAGCCCUUUGGGGGAAAGAUUUAUCGGCGAAGGAUCGGCCCGCGUUGGAUUAGGUAGUUGGUGGGGUAAUGGCCUACCAAGCCGACGAUCCAUAGCUGGUUUGAGAGGAUGAUCAGCCACACUGGGACUGAGACACGGCCCAGACUCCUACGGGAGGCAGCAGUGGGGAAUCUUAGACAAUGGGGGAAACCCUGAUCUAGCCAUGCCGCGUGAGCGAUGAAGGCCUUAGGGUUGUAAAGCUCUUUCAGCUGGGAAGAUAAUGACGGUACCAGCAGAAGAAGCCCCGGCUAACUCCGUG